UGAUAUGCCAACAAAGAAAGAUUUUGGAGGCUCAUCUAGCAAUCAAAUAUUCGUUAAACGAACACCUGAUGUCCUUGGGAGGAUGCAUCCAUUGACUAAAAGUGAAAAAGCUCUGGCUCUUCAGAGAGCCAAUGCUUUCAAAUCUGAAUAUCCUUAUUUCUUGGUUGCCAUUCAACCGGUUUAUAUCCACCGAGGUUACCUGCAUUUGCCAUCCAAGUUUGCAAGGAGACAUCUUGUCAAGCAGCCUGCACGUAACAUAAUCCUUAAGAUUUUUGAGAUGGAAGAACUUGGCUUGUCGAAUUCAAGUAUGAAACUUCAAUAGCUCGAUUCCAGCGUGGCUGGUUGGCGUUUGCAAGGGACAAUAAUUUGAAAGUCGGUGAUAUGUGUGUUUUUGUGUUGAUUGACUGCAAUGAACGUUUAUUUGAAGUUUUUUUUUUAUCGCACCAACAACGCUGAAGAUUGCCCCUGUCACCAGGUAAAUCUGUUCAUUUGUGAAUAUAUGCUCAUUAUGUCAUUGUAACUUACACAGAUUCUGUUCUUUUUUCUGUAAUUUUUUGGGAAACACAGGUCAUGGUGGAGUAGCAAUUGAUCGAGUUGAGAAAAGGAGAAACCCCAUAAUUAAAGUUGAAACUGAUUGCACCACAAAUUAUGAACAUGGAAAGUACAAAAGGUUGAAGAUUGGUGGGCAGGUUACUCAAAGGCCUUUAAGAGAUUGAGGAUUUUUUCCAUCAAAUUGGUUACCUUCCACCUCUUAGCACGGUCAAGUUUACCACGUUAUAGUUUGUGUACAC